rnacentral:rRNA from 1 species
UACGUAGGGUGCGAGCGUUGUCCGGAAUUAUUGGGCGUAAAGAGCUUGUAGGCGGUUUGUCGCGUCUGCUGUGAAAAUCCGGGGCUCAACCCCGGAUUGCCAGUGGGUACGGGCGGACUAGAGUGUGGUAGGGGAGACUGGAAUUCCUGGUGUAGCGGUGGAAUGCGCAGAUAUCAGGAGGAACACCGAUGGCGAAGGCAGGUCUCUGGCCG